CCUACGGGAGGCAGCAGUGGGGAAUAUUGGACAAUGGGGGCAACCCUGAUCCAGCCAUGCCGCGUGUGUGAAGAAGGCCCUCGGGUUGUAAAGCACUUUCAGUGAGGAAGAACGCCUGGUGGUUAAUACCCAUCAGGAAAGACAUCACUCACAGAAGAAGCACCGGCUAACUCCGUGCCAGCAGCCGCGGUAAUACGGAGGGUGCGAGCGUUAAUCGGAAUUACUGGGCGGAAAGCGCGCGUAGGUGGCUUGAUAAGCCGGUUGUGAAAGCCCCGGGCUCAACCUGGGAACGGCAUCCGGAACUGUCAAGCUAGAGUGCAGGAGAGGAAGGUAGAAUUCCCGGUGUAGCGGUGAAAUGCGUAGAGAUCGGGAGGAAUACCAGUGGCGAAGGCGGCCUUCUGGACUGACACUGACACUGAGGUGCGAAAGCGUGGGUAGCAAACAGGAUUAGAUACCCUGGUAGUC
rnacentral:rRNA from 1 species